GAUGAAGAACGUAGCGAAAUGCGAUAAGUAAUGUGAAUUGCAGAAUUCAGUGAAUCAUCGAAUCUUUGAACGCACCUUGCACCCUUUGGCAUUCCGAAGGGUAUGCUCGUUUGAGUGUCAUUGUACUCUCACACUCUCCGAUCCUAUGGAUUCGGGGAGCGGUGGACUUGGGUGUUGCUGCCUUUCCCUGUGGCUCACCUCAAAUGCGUCAGUGCACCUCUUGGUUGGACAUAGUACGGCGUGAUAAGUGUCUUCGCCGGCACCUCGCAAGAGGGUGGCCGAUCGGGAGCUCUGCGCUUUCAAACCGUCUUAGGACAAUUUCUGACAUCUUGACCUCAAAUCGAGUAGGACUACCCGCUGAACUUAAGCAUAUCAAUAAGCGGAGGA
rnacentral:misc_RNA from 1 species